GACGAACGCUGGCGGCGUGCUUAACACAUGCAAGUCGAACGGAAAGGCCCUGCUUUUGUGGGGUGCUCGAGUGGCGAACGGGUGAGUAACACGUGAGUAACCUGCCCUUGACUUUGGGAUAACUUCAGGAAACUGGGGCUAAUACCGGAUAGGAGCUCCUGCUGCAUGGUGGGGGUUGGAAAGUUUCGGCGGUUGGGGAUGGACUCGCGGCUUAUCAGCUUGUUGGUGGGGUAGUGGCUUACCAAGGCUUUGACGGGUAGCCGGCCCGAGAGGGUGACCGGCCACAUUGGGACUGAGAUACGGCCCAGACUCCUACGGGAGGCAGCAGUGGGGAAUAUUGCACAAUGGGCGGAAGCCUGAUGCAGCAACGCCGCGUGCGGGAUGACGGCCCUCGGGUUGUAAACCGCUUUCGCCUGUGACGAAGCGUGAGUGACGGUAAUGGGUAAAGAAGCACCGGCUAACUACGUG
rnacentral:rRNA from 1 species